ensembl:lncRNA
GGCUGGCCUUGGGCCUCCCUCCUCGCCCCCCAGGCCUCCCUCCCCCGCCACCCUGCUGCCGGCGCCCCACCUCGGCUAGCCUCCCCCUGGGCCAUCUUCCCCGGGCCGCUUCCACGCGGUGCUGUCCCAGGAGGGAGAACAGAAAGGGGAACUGAGGACCCCCUGCUGGGGAAGUCAGGCCGGGAAAUGCGCCUACUGAAGCGGGCUUGGGGGCGGAGAUAGGGGGAGACGUUGGAGACUUUAAAAGUGGGGAGGCGGGUGGGAAAGACGCGGCUUCUGCCCCUCCCCGCCCUCAUUUUGCCGCCCCCCCCCCCCCCGCGUUGCUGACCCUCCCCGGAGGGAGACCGUUCCCGCUGAGCCGUCCUGGGCAGGCGGGGUCCCACCCGGAGCCGCCCGGGGUGGGUUCCGGGGCCGCGCGGGCCUGGCUGGGCCAGGCCGGGGCGCUCUGCAGCUGUGGGUGCGCACGGUCCACCCCCCCGCCGCCGGCUCCCCGCCCGCGCCGCGGGGUCAAACCCAGCUAGGAGACAGGCUUUGGGACACGAAAGUGGAGUGUUCCAGCGUGACUCUGACUCUCGUCCUCCCCCCUGAACCUGGUUCUUAUGUCCUUGCUUUCCUGCCUGUCCGUCUCGAAAUACAGGUUGGAGUAAUCUGAUGUGCUCUUUUUCUGGUCCAGAUUCCAGCUGGACAUGACAUCACCACACAGGAAAUGUUCAUGUGAUCUCCCUGUAUGACUUGGUGGCUGCUAGCUAAAAGAUGCCAUUGUCUGAGCCAUGGUCUGACACAGGGAAUGACAUCAAUAGACAUUGGGUGACUUGUAUGGAGACUCCUCUUCACGUCAAUGGUAUUGCUCUUGGUAUUCACGAGUUCUACAAAACCAACAGUAAUUCCAUUCAAAGGACUUCUAGACUUCUCUAACACUGCCUAAGAUUUUAUACAAUAUCUCUGUCGUUAACCAAGCCAUGAAAACAUGUUAUUAGAAUGCCAUUAUUUAGUAAGUGGCUUCAUCUUGUUGAUUUUUGUUCAUUUUCAAGGCAUGGAACAUAAUUCAAUAACAUGAAAUAGUGUAAAACAUUGUUCUGUUUUUUCACUUUUGUCAUCAAGCCGCAAGUGCAUUGUAAUGUGAUUGGUUAGACAUAAUCAAUGGGAAAAAAUAGUUUUCUCCUGGAGUUGAUGUUCAUUGUGUAUAUCGACAGAUGGUGUUUCCUGUACCUUCAUUUCAAGUGUGCCUUCUCCUUCAAGCUCAGUUUAUUUUAAAUAGUUGGUCACUUUUACAGUUUAUGGAAUUAAUCUGUCAUUUUUAAUAACUGAAACUGUUCUUUCUGAUACAAUCAAAAGAAGUAUUGGCACUUCUCCUAGACUAUAAUUUAUAAUUUCCAAAUCUCUCUUUUAGAUGUUUUUAAAUGGUUUUCGUUUCCAAAAUUUUAAAGACUUCCAUUCCAGUUGUGCAUUACAGUGAAUAUACAAAGUGUGAUGCAGUUUUCACACUGCUUUUCUAGCUCAAGCCCUACAGACUGCCCAUUAAGGCUUGACCAGUCUUCUUAUUUCAGUUCCCAGCUUGUCAGGUGCAUUAGACAUUUUAUUUUAUUUUAUUUUUAAAAGAUUUUAUUUAUUCAUUUGAGAGAAAGGGAGGCAGAGGGAAAGGGAGAAGCAGGCUCCCUGCCCAAUGUGGGACUCAAUCCAUGGACCCUGGGAUCACGACCUGAGCCUAAGGCAGAUGUUUAACCUUAACCAACUGAGCCACCCAGGCGCCCCUGUCUUUCUUUCUUCUUAGAUUCACUCUCCAGCAAGAUGGGGAAUUUACAAACCUGAGUCGUUUGUGACUGAAUAGCUCCCAUUACUUUAAAAAAACAUUCUCACAGUCUUCCUGAAGUUUCACCCUUGCAAUCAGCCUGAGAUCUGAUUCAGAGUCAGUGGAUAUUUUAUUCUAAUAAUACAGGUUCAAAAUGAUGCUCAGGGAGGCUGUGCCCUGAGUCAGGCAGAAUGGGAGGUGGGCAGCCAGGUGGAGGGGAGAAGGCUGGUCUUCGGGUGUAGGACCUCACACUGUAGUUUCCACUAAAGCAGAGCUUCUGAGCGGGCAUCGAAUUCUCACUCUGAGAAGUUUUAUAUUGUAUUUUAUUUAGAUGAUCAUGUUAUGCAUCAUAUGUGCACUUCAGUCUUCUGUGUAUUUUUUGUGCUUAUUAUUGGGGUAUGCCAAAUAAUUCUCCCAAGAAAAGAGUAGAGGGGGACUUCCAAUUCCUUGAUUUAUUUAUGCUAUUAAUUAACAAAUAUUUAUUGAGCACUUUCUAUGUGAAGGUGUUGUGGUAGGUGCUGGCAGAUGGUGGGACAGUGUCCUGUGAAGGGAAGCUUGGCAGUGAUCUGAGCAAACCCAGAGUUCUCAUAAGGCAAGUCAGAAUCUUGCUGCAAGCCACAGUUUAACUUGAGCAAGCAUCAUCUACAUGAAAUUGAUGCUGUUAACUCGAAUUUAGUGGCUGUUUCCAGUUUUGUUUAUAUGUUGUGUAAAUUUGAAAAAAUAGUUGUAUAGAAGCAAUCAGAAUAAAGGGUUCAUAUCUGA